rnacentral:rRNA from 1 species
CGGCGGACGGGUGAGUAACGCGUGGGUAACCUGCCUCAUACAGGGGGAUAACAGUUAGAAAUGACUGCUAAUACCGCAUAAGCGCACAGGACCGCAUGGUCCGGUGUGAAAAACUCCGGUGGUAUGAGAUGGACCCGCGUCUGAUUAGCUGGUUGGCGGGGUAGAGGCCCACCAAGGCGACGAUCAGUAGCCGGCCUGAGAGGGUGGACGGCCACAUUGGGACUGAGACACGGCCCAAACUCCUACGGGAGGCAGCAG